GUAUGUUUUAAGUUUAUGAAACUCAUAUACUAAAUAGGAUGAAAUAAAAACAUUUUUCUUAACAAAGAUACUGAUUUUAUACAUGUCAACUAGCCAAACUCUCAUUUACCUUUUUUUCUUAAUAGGUAGAAAAUUUAAGGUGACUAAACAACUUGACCACUUUCUUGAUGUAUACAGUCAGUCCUCACAAUAUGAUUUGCCAGUUGGUUGGUUUGAAUAAUCGUCUUUUUUACAAGAAUGCAUUUCAAAAGCUACUAAACUCAUCUGUAAACAGCAAAACCAAAUUUUUUAGAUAUAGUAGUGUGCUUCUGUGUGAAAGUAAAGACACAUUUGCAAAGCUUGGCUGAAUUUGGCAGGAAGAGGAGGAACUGGGAUAAAAUGAACAUGCCUCUGUGUACUUGUGAGACUGGAAAGGCAGAAACUGUAUUUCCCAAGCUCACAUGAAUCUUGGGUUCCAGAUGUGGCCAAGGUUCUCCUGGGCUGACAUAAUGAGAUAAGGAAGAGCAAGGUGAGACACAGCUAUAUGCGGAAAGGUCAGUGAUGCUUUAAUGAGUGAUGCUGGGGACA